GGGCGAAACUAUGUGUUUUUUCCCACCAAAAUUUUACUGUGAAUGAAUUGGGAAAAGGGGGACUUGCAGUGGUUCAUCGUCUUCAUAACGUAUCUUGGAAGUUGAUAUCAGAUUUAUUUGCGUAAAAACAUGGUUUAAUUCGAUUUGAUUUUGCACUCGAUUGGAUUGUUUGGAAAGGUUUAAUUAGAUGGAUUUGAUUGUUGUCAAUGUUGACUCACAGUGGGUUUCAUCAUCUUCAUCACCAAUCUCGCAUUCUUGGAAGUGGUUUCAUCGUCUUAAUCAUCAAUCUUGGAAGUUAAAAGUGCUUUAAUUCAAUUUGAUUUUGCACUCGAUUGGAUUCUUGCGAAAGCUUUAAUUAAAUCGAUUUGAUUGUUGUCAAGGCUGACUUACAGUUGUUGCAUCUUCUUCAUCACCAAUCUUGCAAUCUUGGAAGGUAAAGUAAAAAUGCUUUAAUACGAUUUCAUUUUCUCUCGAUGGGAUUCUUGUGAAAAAUAUAAUGACACUUGAUUUGAUCGUUGUCAAUGUUGACUUACGGUGGUUUCAUCGUCUUCAUCACCAAUCUUGGAAGUUGUUUCAUCGUCUUCAUCACCAAUCUUGCAAUCUUGGAAGGUCUUCUAGAGAUGACCAGAUUGGCAUGGAAGGGAAUCCAGUGGCUUGAAAAUAGUUCCAAAGGUGAAUGCAGCAGUAUAUUAUAACAGAUCAAGUGAAAUGAAACAAAAACACAUUCAUCCAAGACACGCCUCUUCAGAAGCUGAUCCGUGUGAUGUGAACUACGCUAGGAAUAGAAAUCAGUCAGAGUUUGCUCUUGCGAUAGAAUUUUGGCAAUGAACCAUGAUGAUGAAUUGGAAGAAACUGAGAUAGAAGAUUUUUGUUCCCAAGUUUGUAAUUUAUUUCUCCAUGAUGCACUAUAUGAUCAACUCGUACAGGCAAAUGAGGUCCCUGGAAUGUUGCUACAGAGUUUGCUCUUGGGGAUCAGUAUUGUUUCUUCAGUAGAAAGCUUUCAAGUGCUAGGUUUGAGGAGGGGUACAAUAUUUCAACAAAACAAAGUAUGCAUUGCGAACGCUUUGUUAGAAAACAAGAAUUGGGCAAUUAACUGUGAGGAUGAAUUGGAAGAAACUGAGAAGAUAUAAUUUUUUUUUUUUUUUUCACAAGUUCAUACUUAGUUUUGCCAUGAUGCAGUCUAUGAUCAACUCAUACAGGCAAUUCCUUAAAUGAGACAGUUAUUAUCUCCUCCUUAGAAUGCUGCUACAAAUUUUGCCUCUUCAAUAAUGCUUCUUCAGUAAAGGACCCUCAACUAUUAACGUUUGAAGAGGGGUUCAACAUCUUCGAAAAACAAAGGCUGAAAUAAUAACUUUGCUGGCUGUUUUGGAGGAGCAUGACUAUGUAAGCUCUCUACAGAGGUCUUCUCAAGAUGACCAGAUUGGCAUGGAAGGGAACCCAGUAUCUUGAAAAUAAUUCCAAAGGUGAAAUUAAGCAGUUUAUUAGCAGAUGUGAAAAUAUGGACUGAACACAAGUUCAUCUGAUAUUUAUCCAGACUUGUCAGAGAUAUCUAAGAUAAGUUAUUUUAACCAAGAUUCAUGAUACUCUAGUCCGAAAUCCAUAAGCAACAACUCUAAGACCAUGUAAAAACGCAGAUUAGGGGAAUUGAAACAAAAACAAGUUAAUCCAAGACACAUCUUAACUUAUUCAGAAGCUGAACCGUAUGUUGUGAACUUUAGAGAUCGUCUGGGUUCAAAGCUCUUAUCAUAUCUAUAACCUAGUUUCCAUCUGCUUUAGUCUCUCUAGAUUGUUAGCAGCUGGAUGACGCAGAAAUAAAUGGCUAGGAUGAUUUGGCAGAAUCAACAACAUGGUUGUUUCAUAUGUUAUUAUAUAAUGCAACAUGUACAAGUGAAGAUGUUUCUCUGACUAAAUUACUACAUUCUCUGCCCAAUGUUGUGCUAUUCGAUAGAGGGUGACAUCCAUUAGCUACUAUAUUCUCCCUGGAAUGCUGCUACAGAUUUUGCUCUUGCAAACUUAUUCACUAAAGGAGCUUCAAUUAAUAGAGUUUGAAGAGGGGUACAAUAUGUUCAAGAAAACAAAGAAUGCAACAGUAACAUUAUUUUUCGCUUAAUUGGAAGCAAGAAUUUUGGCAAUGAACCAUGAGGAUGAAUUGGAAGAAACUGAGAUUGAAGUUUAUUUAUUUAUUUAUUUAUUUUCACAAAUUCAUAAUUUAUUUCGCCAUGAUGCAGUAUAUGAUCAACUAGUACAGGCAAAUUAGACAGCUAUCAUCUUCUCCACAGAAUUUUGCUACAGAGUUUGCUCUUGGGAUCUGUGUUGUUUCUUCAGUAAAGAACCUUCAAGUGUUGAUGAGGGGUACAAUAUUUCAACAAAACGAAGGAUGCAUUGUGUACACUUCAUUAGAAAACAAGAAUUUUGGCAAUGAACCGUGAAUAUGAAUUGGAAGAAACUGAGAUAGAAGAUUUUUAUUCACAAGUUCAUAAUUAGUUUUUCCAUGAUGUAGUCUCAUACCGGCAAAUCCUUAAAUGAGACAGCUAUUAUCUUCUCCCUGGAAUGCUGCUACAGAGUUUGCUCUUCUAAAAUGCUUCUUCAGUAAAGGAUCCUCAAGUAUUAAUGUUUGAAGUGGGGUACAAACGUCUUCAACAAAAUAAAGGAUGAAAUAGUAACUUUGCAGGCUGUGUUGGAAGGGAAACAUCAUGAUGUCAGCUUUCUGCAGAGAUCUUCUUGAGAUGAUCAGAUUGGCAUGGAUCCAGUGGCUAGAAAAUAGUUCCCAAGGUGAAAUGAAGCAGUAUAUGAGCUGGUUUGAAAAUAUGGACUGAAAACAAGUUCAUCCGAUAUUUAUCCAGACUUGUCAGAGAUAUCCAUGAUAAUUUUUUUGACUUAAGAUUCAUGAUAUUCUAGUCCUAAAUGCAUAAGCAACAGUUCUAAGACCGUGAAAAUGCAGAUUGUGGAAUGAAAUGAAAGCAUGUUCAUCCGAGACAUGCAUCUGAACUUAUUCAGAAGCUGAACCGUAUGUUGUGAACUUUGUUAGGAAUAGAAAUCAUUCGGGUUCAAAAUUCUAUUAUAUUUACAACCUAAAGUUUCCAUCUGCUUUAGUCUUUCUGGGUUGUUAACAGUUGCAAGUUUUAACUGGAUGGGGCAGAGCUAAAUGGCUACUGGCUAGGAUGAUUUGACAGAAUUAAUAAUUUACUUGUUUCUUAUGUUGGUUGAUAAUGCAACACGUACAAGUGAAAAUGUUUCUCUGGCUAAAAUACUACAUUCUUCGGCCCAUGUUGUGUUAUUCGAUACAGGGUAACAUCCAUUUGCUACCAUAUUCUCCCUGUGAUGCUGCUACACAGUUUGCUCUUGCAAUAAAGAUUUCUGAUCAGUAAAGGAGCUUCAAGUAUUAGGGGCCAUGACAAGGGUUAAGGUCAUAGCUCACCUCGAUGAAUCAGGAAGACAUUGCAAAUGGAACUGGCCACGUGUCACAUUUAUAAUUAGUUUGAUAUCUUCGAACAAAUUAUAAGUGCAAAUGAUUUAGUAACCAGAUGUUUUUAAUUUUAAAAAGUUGUACACGAAAUAACAUAAUGCAUAAAUUUAUAAGAAAUUCAUUAAUUAAUUAUUCCUUGUAUAAUUUUAACUCUGCCUAUGUCGAAUAAUAGCUGGUCUCAAGCCCGAAUAAAAGAAGAAGGUUGUUGUGUAUUAGACUUAAUGAAUAUAUGAAAUUUAUGUUCAAUAUUUUGAAUUUUAACUGUUUAUGUCAUCAAUUUUUAUAGAAACACAAGAUUAAUUUACUUAGCUGAUCAAAUUUGAUGUUUCCUUUCAGCUCUUGCUGAGAUAACCAGAUUGGCAUGAAAUGGAUUUGGCCAAACUGGUAUAAUGUUGAAAUGUGGCAGCAGUUUGCGCUCAGAAAGUUCAUUAAACAUCUACUUGGGCUCGAUGGAGAUAUCCAGGAUAAGUCGUUCCCACAACCACAGUUUCGCAGGUAGGAAAAAAUGAGAAGCCCGAGAUCACUUUGCUAAAGUUAAUGGGAUGUGCCAAUACAGCUCACUGGAGAAUGAGUCGAUCUUAUCCCAGAAAAUCAUAAGCAACAAGUUUAUGACCAUAUAAAUAUGCAAAAUUAGGGAAUGUGAAAGACGAUCCCUCCACGACACACGAUCAUUAGCCUCGAAUAGAAGCCAAUGACUUCAGUAGGCACUCUAGAAUAUACACUCAUUGAUAUUAAGAUAUGUUCAUUGUGGGAGAAUGAGCAAGUAGCAUGUAUGUAUCCUCUGACUUCUAAUUUUUUCUAUCUUGUUCUCCAUAUUAAAUCCUUAAGAUUGAAGCUUCA